AUGAAGAAACUGAGUCCCAUAGAAAGGGAGAGUUUUGAAGACCCAAGGUCAAUCAAGAUGAUGGAUAAAGGACAACACCCAGCUGAACUGUUCUAAUAAUCCCUUCCAAACAACUUUAAAAUAGCACCUAAGAGCAAAUUCUGGAGUGGCAGAGCCAUCAACAAGUCUAGGAGCAUGAGAAGUUGAGACCUUAGAGGAGAGAAUGAAUACCCAAAGAAGGAGGAUGUGGAAAAUUUCUGGCCACCUCUAUUAUUGUAAGAAGUCUAACACAGUGAAAAUACCUGUAGCCUUUGAGCUUCAAGCUAAGGGAGCAGCGACAUAGCCCACUCCUCCCAUGGGGAAGAGAUAGCAUCCAGGAGAGGACUCAAGCUGAUGCUGGAAGCAGAGAGACUCCACGAGUUCAUGGCUGGUGAGAGCCAGUUGCAACCUUAGGACCAAACGAGCAAUGUAUGAGAAUAUCAGAUGGCUGAGAGCAACAAUACCAGGCAGAGAGUACAUGCCGUACCCACACACCCAAGAGAGACUUUACCCAGCCCAAGGAGAUAGCAUGCCACUCCAGACCAGCAGAGACAGGAAUACCAACAGAAAACAUCCGGGUUUUACAGCAUCAGGCAUCUUCCCUAGGGAUGCUUGUGGAGUCAUGAAUUUUUGUGUAGUCUAUCCUCGGUUGCCAGUGCAGACUCUUGCCAUCGGCUGCAGAAAAAUGGGAAGCCCAACCUCCUCCAAAUCUUUCAACACCCACAAGAUCCACCUUCCACCAAAGGAAAGGAGAGAGAGAGAUAUUCCCAGGCCAGAGCUCAGGCUUCUCUUUUUCCCUUGAGACAGUUCCUUUUCUGGAGUCCUUGUCUUGCUGCUCUCUGGAAUUCAUCAAUUCUAACUAACUCAAUACUUAUCUGUAGGACCCAGAGGACACGGCAAAAAUCCAUCCCCAAAUUAAAAGGGACUUCUCAAACUCAUUGCACUUCAUCCAGUGGCCUUCAGAGACUUAGUCUAAAGUUGUUCAUUAAGAUUAAUUGAUUGACGAAUGUAAUGGACUUCUCCAUUAGUGGCAAUGCAGUGAUCCUGAAUAACCUGGAGGAAUCUAUGAAAAAGAACACUAUCCACAUUCAGAGGAAAAACUGUAGGAGUAGAAACACCGAAGAAAAACAACUGCUUGAAUACAUGGGUCAAAGGGAUAUGGCUGGGGAUGUAGACUCUAAAUGAACAUCCUAGUGCAAACAUCAACAACAUGGAAAUGGGUUCUGAUCAAGGACACAAGUAAUACCCAAUGAAAUUGUGUGUCAGCUGUGGGAAGGCUGGGUGGAGGGGAGGAAGGGAAAUAAAGUGAGUAUUGUAACCA
rnacentral:lncRNA from 1 species